rnacentral:rRNA from 1 species
UGGGGAAUCUUCCGCAAUGGACGAAAGUCUGACGGAGCAACGCCGCGUGUAUGAUGAAGGUCUUCGGAUUGUAAAGUACUGUCAUUGGGGAAGAACGGUUUUCUUGAGAAUAUUGAGAAGACAUGACGGUACCCAAGGAGGAAGCCCCGGCUAACUACGUGCCAGCAGCCGCGGUAAUACGUAGGGGGCAAGCGUUGUCCGGAAAUUAUUGGGCGUAAAGGGCGCGUAGGCGGGCCUUUAAGUCCGGUGUGAAAGAUUCAGGGCUCAACCCUGAGAGUGCAUCGGAAACUGAGGCUUGAGGACAGGAGAGGAAAGUGGAAUUCCACGUGUAGCGGUGAAAUGCGUAGAUAUGUGGAGGAACACCAGUGGCGAAGGCGACUUUCUGGACUGUAACUGACGCUGAGGC